rnacentral:rRNA from 1 species
UUGGAGGGCAAGUCUGGUGCCAGCAGCCGCGGUAAUUCCAGCUCCAAUAGCGUAUAUUAAAGUUGUUGUGGUUAAAAAGCUCGUAGUUGAACCUUGGGCCUGGCUGGCCGGUCCGCCUCACCGCGUGCACUGGUCCGGCCGGGCCUUUCCCUCUGCGGAACCCCAUGCCCUUCACUGGGUGUGGCGGGGAAACAGGACUUUUACUUUGAAAAAAUUAGAGUGCUCCAGGCAGGCCUAUGCUCGAAUACAUUAGCAUGGAAUAAUAGAAUAGGA